GUGCUCGCUUCGGCAGCACAUAUACUAAAAUUGGAAUGAUACGGAGAAGAUUAGCAUGGCCCCUGCACAAGGAUGACACGCAAAUUCGUGAAGUGUUCCAUAUUUUU
ensembl:snRNA Rnu6-1303 RNA, U6 small nuclear 1303